rnacentral:lncRNA from 1 species
ACAGAUUGAGCAGAAGUAUAAAGACAAUGUGCUGUUGUUGUACAGCUCAAAAGGUAAUCUGCAAAAAACAGAUUUACGUCUAAACGCAGAUUUGCGUCUAAACGCAGAUUUACGUCUAAACGCAGAUUUACGUCUUAACUUUGAAACUCGUUUGUAUAUUCGCAGAGGGCAGUAUGCAGUUGAAAUCAAGACGUAAACGUAAACUGAAAUCUGACGAUUGUGCGAGGAAAGCCGAUUUACGUCUAAAUGCAGUUUUACGUCUAAAUGUUGAAACUCGUUCGUAAAAUUGCAGAAGACAGUUUGCAGUUAUAAAUAGAAUCAAAUUGUAAGUGUAAACUGCAAAGAAACUCGU